UACGUAGGGGGCAAGCGUUGUCCGGAUUUAUUGGGCGUAAAGAGCGUGUAGGCGGCUGGGUAGGUCCGUUGUGAAAACUCGAGGCUCAACCUCGAGACGCCGAUGGAAACCCCCCGGCUAGAGUCCGGAAGAGGAGAGUGGAAUUCCUGGUGUAGCGGUGAAAUGCGCAGAUAUCAGGAAGAACACCAAUGGCGAAGGCAGCUCUCUGGGACGGUACUGACGCUGAGGUGCGAAAGCGUGGGGAGCAAACAGG
rnacentral:rRNA from 1 species